rnacentral:rRNA from 1 species
CAGUCGCCACGGUAAUACGAAGGGUGCAAGCGUUAAUCGGAAUUACUGGGCGUAAAGCGUGCGUAGGCGGUUUGUUAAGUCUGUUGUGAAAUCCCCGGGCUCAACCUGGGAAUGGCAAUGGAUACUGGCAAGCUAGAGUGUGUCAGAGGAUGGUGGAAUUCCCGGUGUAGCGGUGAAAUGCGUAGAGAUCGGGAGGAACACCAGUGGCGAAGGCGGCUCACUGGUCCAUUACUGACGCUGAGAUGCGAAAGCGUGGGGAGCAAACAGGAUUAGAUACCCCCGUAGUCCCUGUCUCUUAUAC